GUGAUGAUAUUCCUUUAUAAUGUUUAUGGUUUUCAAACUGAAGAACCUUGAAGAUAAUUUCUAGGGCGGUCUGAUUAU